AGGACGAACGCUGGCGGCGUGCCUAAUACAUGCAAGUCGAACGGUCUUUCUAUGGAAGCUUGCUUCCACUGAGAAGAUAGUGGCGAACGGGUGAGUAACACGUGGGUAACCUGCCCAUAAGAGGGGGAGUAACAUCCGGAAACGGGUGCUAAUACCGCAUAGUUUUCUUGAUUGCAUGAUUGAGAAAGGAAAGACGGCCUUUGUGCUGUCGCUUAUGGAUGGACCCGCGGCGUAUUAGUUAGUUGGCGAGGUAACGGCUCACCAAGACGAUGAUACGUAGCCGACCUGAGAGGGUGAUCGGCCACAUUGGGACUGAGACACGGCCCAAACUCCUACGGGAGGCAGCAGUAGGGAAUCUUCCGCAAUGGACGAAAGUCUGACGGAGCAACGCCGCGUGAGUGAAGAAAGGUUUUCGGAUCGUAAAACUCUGUUGUCAGAGAAGAACAAGUUGGAGAGUAACUGCUCCAGCCUUGACGGUAUCUGACCAGAAAGCCACGGCUAACUACGUGCCAGCCGCAGC
rnacentral:rRNA from 1 species